rnacentral:tRNA from 1 species
GCUACCGUAGCUAGUGGUAUAGCUCUCGGCUCAUAACCAAGAUGACUGUGGUUCGUCUCACCUGGUAGCA